CCGUUCACUCUUCUCGUCAGUCGAUGAUUGAAUUUCGAAUGUCAGAACAGUGCGCGAGA
rnacentral:pre_miRNA from 1 species